GAAACAGUGGCUAAGACUGGAUAGGAAGAUAAAAGGCAUCUUGUAUCUUUUAAAAGACCUAGUUAAUAGGUAUGCUUUAGGAGGGGCUUGCGCCAUAUUAGUUAGUUGGUAGGGUAAUGGCCUACCAAGACGAUGAUGUGUAGCUGGACUGAGAGGUUGAACAGCCACAUUGGGACUGAGACACGGCCCAAACUCCUACGGGAGGCAGCAGUAGGGAAUUUUUGGCAAUGGAGGAAACUCUGACCGAGCAACGCCGCGUGAAUGACGAAGUACUUCGGUAUGUAAAGUUCUUUUAUCGAGGAAGAAAAGCAAACGGCGAACCAUUUGUUUGCCGGUACUUGAUGAAUAAGCCCCGGCUAAUUAUGUGCCAGCAGCCGCGGUAAGACAUAAGGGGCAAGUGUUAUCCGGAAUUAUUGGGCGUAAAGGGUGCGUAGGCGGUCUAGUAAGUCAGUGGUGUAAUGUCAACGCUUAACGUUGUCCGGCUAUUGAAACUGCUAAACUUGAGUUAGAUAGAGGCGAGUGGAAUUCCAUGUGUAGCGGUAAAAUGCGUAAAUAUAUGGAGGAACACCAGAGGCGUAGGCGGCCCACUGGGUCUUAACUGACGCUGAGGCACGAAAGCGUGGGGAGCAAACAGGAUUAGAUACCCUGGUAGUCCACGCCGUAAACGAUGAGUACUAAGUGUCGGGUUAAACCGGUACUGAAGUUAACACAUUAAGUACUCCGCCUGAGUAGUACGUACGCAAGUAUGAAACUUAAAGGAAUUGACGGGACUCCGCACAAGCGGUGGAUCAUGUUGUUUAAUUCGAAGAUACCCGAAAAACCUUACCAGGUCUUGACAUGUUUUUGCAAAAUGAUAGUAAUAUCGUGGAGGUUACCAGAAACACAGGUGGUGCAUGGUUGUCGUCAGCUCGUGUCGUGAGAUGUUAGGUUAAGUCCUAAAACGAGCGAAACCCUUAUCGUUAGUUGCCAGCACGUUAUGGUGGGGACUUUAACGAGACUGCCAAUGAUAAAUUGGAGGAAGGUGAGGAUCACGUCAAAUCAGCAUGCCCCUUAUGACCUGGGCUACAAACGUGAUACAAUGGCUGUUACAAAGAGUAGCUGAAACGCAAGUUCUUGGCCAAUCCCCAAAAACAGUCCCAGUCCGGAUUGAAGUCUGCAACUCGACUUCAUGAAGUUGGAAUCGCUAGUAAUCGCGAAUCAGCAUGUCGCGGUGAAUACGUUCUCGGGGUUUGUACACACCG
rnacentral:rRNA from 1 species